AUCCACCUGGCGAGUCCCGAAUAGGACGAAAUACGCAUCCUGGAU
rnacentral:hammerhead_ribozyme from 1 species